rnacentral:rRNA from 1 species
AACGAACGCUGGCGGCAUGCCUAACACAUUCAAGUCGAACGAGACCUUCUGGUCUAGUGGCGCACGGGUGCGUAACGCGUGGGAACCUGCCCUUAGGUUCGUAAUAACUCCCCGAAAGGGGUGCUAAUACCGGAUAAUGUCUUCGGACCAAAGAUUUAUCGCCUUUGGAUGGGCCCGCGUUGGAUUAGCUAGUUGGUAGGGUAAAAGCCUACCAAGGCGACGAUCCAUAGCUGGUCUGAGAGGAUGAUCAGCCACACUGGGACUGAGACACGGCCCAGACUCAUACGGGAGGCAGCAGUGGGGAAUAUUGGACAAUGGGCGAAAGCCUGAUCCAGCAAUGCCGCGUGAGUGAUGAAGGCCUUAGGGUUGUAAAGCUCUUUUACCCGGGAUGAUAAUGACAGUACCGGGAGAAUAAGCUCCGGCUAACUCCGUG